UAUCUUCAUAUGCUGCCGCCGGAUCGGCUUCGACUGUCAUCCUCUACCUCGGCUACCUCCUCCAACACUGACGAUUCAUGAAGAAUCUGAAUGUGUUAUGCACCCAAGCUGUUGGCAGUAUUGCAGGUGGAGUUGUAUAGGAAAGCUGAACAAUUAUAUCUCGAAGCAAUUGAAAUCCUGGAGAAAUCAUUUGAACCUACUGAUAUACUGUACUGGUUGGAACAACUUUGCGUAAUGUUGGACAAUACUAUCAUAUUCAGAACAGGUUUGAUCAAGCUGAGAUAUAUUACGAGAUUGCCAAGAUAAACUGAUGAUACAUGGCCCAAGUUUUGGUUGCAAGGUUAUGAAAGAGGCUACUACAAGAUAAAUAGAAUGUCAUUGUAUUGAUCAAUGUUUCAAACAUUAUAGUUGAUUGCAAGCUCGGGAAUUGGGCUACUACUAGAUAGUUUCACAUCAUGUAAUCUUUGGAUCGUGAUCUUUGUAAUGCAACAUAUCUGG